CCGCGACCGUCUCGCGUACGGGAAGGCGGCGGAGGCCUCCGGAGGGCAGCGCCCCGGGGCUCGGGAGCGGGAGGAGCGAGGGACGAUCCAGUGCUCGGCCGGGUUUGCCAUCUUGGCUGCCCGGCGUCAGUUUGGAGUUUGUGCUGCGCCCGCGAUCCGGAGUUGCUGGGGGGUGUGAGGGUCUCUACUUGACAGCCGGAGAAGAAAAACCGCCCGGAGGCAGGCAGCGAUCCAGCCCAGGUCCCUACCGCGCGGGACUAAAGGGAUGCGACCUGGAGGACGAGAGGACGCGCCAUGGCGAUCGGCCGGGAGCGUGGACCCAGGGGCGCGCCGAGGGUGCCCGGGCUGGCCUGGACCCGAGCGGCCAGCGAGAGGUGUCAGUCCAUGGUUUACUGGCUCCACUGCCUGUGACCCUGGUUGGGGCUGCUCCUUGCCUGUGGCAAGGUGGAAACCUCAAGGUGGGAGGAGACUUCUGGGCUGCUGUACCACCCUCGCCAGCGCACGGAGGUGAGCUGCUCCCAGCACACAAGAGAAGGCUUCUGGGCCGCCAUACCACCCCCCGCCAGCACACAGGAGGUGAGCCACGUGGCGCCAGCAGCAC
ensembl:lncRNA